AUUGAACGCUGGCGGCAUGCCUUACACAUGCAAGUCGAACGGCAGCACGGGAGCAAUCCUGGUGGCGAGUGGCGAACGGGUGAGUAAAGUAUCGGAACGUGCCCAGUCGUGGGGGAUAACGUAGCGAAAGUUACGCUAAUACCGCAUACGAUCUAUGGAUGAAAGCGGGGGAUCGCAAGACCUCGCGCGAUUGGAGCGGACGAUAUCAGAUUAGGUAGUUGGUGGGGUAAAGGCUCACCAAGCCGACGAUCUGGAGCUGGUCUGAGAGGACGACCAGCCACACUGGGACUGAGACACGGCCCAGACUCCUACGGGAGGCAGCAGUGGGGAAUUUUGGACAAUGGGCGAAAGCCUGAUCCAGCCAUGCCGCGUGAGUGAAGAAGGCCUUCGGGUUGUAAAGCUCUUUCGGCAGGAACGAAACGGCGAGCUCUAACAUAGCUUGCUAAUGACGGUACCUGAAGAAGAAGCACCGGCUAACUACGUGCCAGCAGCCGCAGUAA
rnacentral:rRNA from 1 species